rnacentral:rRNA from 1 species
GACGAACGCUGGCGGCGUGCUUAACACAUGCAAGUCGAACGGAAAGGCCCUGCUUUUGUGGGGUGCUCGAGUGGCGAACGGGUGAGUAACACGGGAGUAACCUGCCCUGGACUUUGUGAUAACUUCAGGAAACUGGGGCUAAUACCGGAGAGGAGCGCCUGCUGCAUGGUGGGGGUUGGAAAGUUUCGGCGGUUGGGGAUGGACGCGCGGCUUAUCAGCUUGUUGGUUGGGUAGUGGCUUACCAAGGCUUUGACGGGUAGCCGGCCUGAGAGGGUGACCGGCGACAUUGGGACUGAGAUACGGACCAGACUCCUACGGGAGGCAGCAGGGGGGAAUAUUGCACAAUGGGCGGAAGCCUGAUGCAGCAACGCCGCGUGCGGGAUGACGGCCUUCGGGUUGUAAACCGCUUUCGCCUGUGACGAAGCGUGAGUGACGGUAAUGGGUAAAGAAGCACCGGCUAACUACGUG